CAGGAUUGGCAGAAAAGGACAGCUCUACCAUCUGCGUCUUGGGAUUGGCGACAUUGCAAUGCGAUCGCUGGAAAGUGUAACUUAUCCAUCGCCACCUAAACCAGCAUAAAAACCCAUCAAAUUGUUUUCUUAACUGGACAUCGCAAUGCCGAAGCCUGCAAAACAGCACAAACCUGACCAGCCUCGGGAUACGGCAGAAGAUCCUGUUGACUUGAGUGAAGCUAACGCUAGCGUCAAGCACGCUGUUAAUAGAGCCGGGAUACUGCCCGACGAGGUGUCUGGAAAUGCCUGCAGCUCACGACCCUGAGCCGGAAACACAGCAGCAGACUUGGAGAUUGCGAGUCACAAUGCCGGGAAAGCCUUUGGUAAGUAUUUGUUUAGUUAACUAAGAAUUUUUCCAAGUGUUUAACAAGUGUUUUUUGCCACCUCCUUGUGCUUUAGGACUGAUAGCUAGCUUAUUUUCCUCUCCAUAGGAGUUACAGACAUGGAUGUUCUUGUCUUCUCCUCAUUUAUGUUUCUAUUUGUGUUGUUCAGAGGUUCCUUAGUUGUUGCAGGUCCAGAGGCCUUCCUUUCCUCUCUCUUCACCGUGACAGACUGACAUUACUGCGGCCGCUACACUGAUCCGCCUGUCAAUCUCACGCUCCAUCCUUCCCUCACUAGUGAACAAGACCCCAAGAUACUCAGAUUCCUCCACUUGAGGCAGUAACUUUCCCCCAACCCAGAGGGAGCAAGCCACCUUUUUCUGGCCGAGAACCAUGGGAUCGGACUUCGAGGUGCUGAUUCUCAUCCCAGCUGCUUCAAACUCAGCUGCAAACCGCCCCAGGACAUGCUGGAGGUCCUGGCUCGAAGGA